CUUUUGUGGGGUGCUCGAGUGGCGAACGGGUGAGUAACACGUGAGUAACCUGCCCUUGACUUUGGGAUAACUUCAGGAAACUGGGGCUAAUACCGGAUAGGAGCUCCUGCUGUAUGGUGGGGGUUGGAAAGUUUCGGCGGUUGGGGAUGGACUCGCGGCUUAUCAGCUUGUUGGUGGGGUAGUGGCUUACCAAGGCUUUGACGGGUAGCCGGCCUGAGAGGGUGACCGGCCACAUUGGGACUGAGAUACGGCCCAG
rnacentral:rRNA from 1 species